UACGGAGGGGGCUAGCGUUGUUCGGAAUUACUGGGCGUAAAGCGCACGUAGGCGGAUUGGAAAGUUGGAGGUGAAAUCCCGGGGCUCAACCUCGGAACUGCAUCCAAAACUAUUAGUCUGGAGUUCGAGAGAGGUGAGUGGAAUUCCGAGUGUAGAGGUGAAAUUCGUAGAUAUUGGGAGGAACACCAGUGGCGAAGGCGGCUACCUGGCUCGACACUGACGCUGAGGUGCGAAAGCGUGGGGAGCAAACAGG
rnacentral:misc_RNA from 1 species